rnacentral:rRNA from 1 species
CGGGGAAAAGGGUAGAGAUUUGGAGGAAUACCGGUGGGGAAGGCGGCCCCCUGGACGAAGAAUGACGCUCCAGUGGGAAAGCGUGGGGAGCAAACAGGAUUUGAUACCCGGGUAGUCCCCCCCGUAAAAGAUGUCGACUUGGAGGGUGUUCCCCUGAGGAGUGGCUUCCGGAGGUAACGCGUUAAGUCGACCGCCCGGGGGGGACGGCCGCAAGGUUUAAACUCAAAUGAAUUGACGGGGGCCCGCGCAAGCGGUGGAGCAUGUGGUUUAAUUCGAUGCAACGCGAAGAACCUUACCUACUUUUGACAUCCAAGGAAUUCGGCAGAGAUGCCUUAGUGCCUUCGGGAACCCUGAGACAGGUGCUGCAUGGCUGUCGUCAGCUCGAGUUGUGAAAUGUUGGGGUAAGUCCCGCAACGAGCGCAACCCUUAUCCUUUGUUGCCAGCGAUUCGGUCGGGAACUCAAAAGAGAAUGCCGGUGAUAAACCCGAGGAAGGUGGGGAUGACGUCAAGUCAUCAUGGCCCUUACGAGUAGGGGUACACACGUGGUACAAAGGCGCAUACAAAGAGAAGCGACCUCGCGAGAGCAAGCGGACCUCAUAAAGUGCGUCGUAGUCCGGAUCGGAGUCUGCAACUCGACUCCGUGAAGUCGGAAUCGCUAGUAAUCGUGGAUCAGAAUGCCACGGUGAAUACGUUCCCGGGCCUUGUACACACCGCCCGUCACACCAUGGGAGUGGGUUGCAAAAGAAGUAGGUAGCGUAACCUUCGGGAGGGCGCUUACCACUUUCGAUUGCAUAGACGUGGGGGAAAGUCUUAACCGGGAUCCUCGUAAUUUCACCCCACAAAAGG